rfam:Nosema ceranae BRL01 Nc000001, whole genome shotgun sequence.
GGCGGUGUAGCAAAGUGGUUAAUGCGCCAGAUUGCUAAUCUGGUUCCUUCUGGUUCGCGAGUUCGAAUCUCGUCGCCGUCG